CCCAACUCUCUGUUUGUCUGAAAAAGAAAAGAAUCCAAAAGAUGCUUCGAUCCUCAUGCAGUAACCGAGUCUCGAGCGAGCUCUUCUUGGACUCACCUGAUUCCCAAUCACUGAGUUCGAAUCAACAUGGUUCAGAGACGGUUUUCUUGGACAAACAACUACUUCCGAUGUAUAACCCCCUUUCACGCGCCGCCGAGAAAGAAAGGUCCCACCUUAGAUCUGCUGAGAACGCCGUCCACAUCAUCCCUUUCGUUCUCGUUUUUUGCGGUUUCAUCCUUUGGUUAUUCUCCAGCAUAGAAUCAAGGGUUUGAAGAUUGAUAUCAAAAUCAAGAGUACUUUUUGUGCAUGGGGCAACUUGAUUCAAAAAUUGAAGCUGUUAAGAGCUUCAAUUCAACAAACCAAGUGGUAUAUACAUAACCUGUGAGGUUGUGAAAGAAUGGAAUGUAGCUCGGGUUCUUUUCAAAUAGAUAGUUCAUUUGCUACUGAAAAAACAUUUUUUGUUUUUGUACAAUGCAGAUGAUUUAAUGCACUUUUCAAUGUCAAAUGUAUACAAGAUGAAAGUUAAUGUAUUUUCAAUUGAUGAGAAACAUCUAUUUGUUCAUUCUUGCUAGUUAUGGUCAUUGGUUUAAUAUUAACUUCAACAAUUUCCCAGUAAUUUUUAAUGCUAUUGGAUACUUGAAUCUUGAAUUGGUGCCAGAGUAUCGAUUUGCAGGUACGACGAUGAGAUUCAACUAUUUCGGGUGGAGAAUCUGCUUGUGGCAGGUAAUGGAACUCCUGGAAUCAUAUAAUGUGCUGCAUAUUUUCCAUUUCUAUAAUCUGCAAUGCGCUUUUCUUCACUGAAUUCGACUUGGUUGUAUGGUUAUAUCUGGACAAAUGCUCGACUAGGGACAAGUAACAUUGCUCAUUUUGUCAAAGAAAGCUCUGUAAUUUCAUGUUUAAUUAAUAAAUGAUGGAUAGAACAGCUUCAAAUGGCAAUGAUAUAUAGUUUGUUUUCUUUCUUGCUACUUAUGGUCUUGAAAUCUUUACAUUUUUAUGCUUUGAGAGGCUCACACUCAAAAUUUGUGUGUUCAAGCACUGGUCCAAGUCUAACUAGUUUAGGUAUGACAAUAUUGUUACGAAUAGAACAGACAAGUUGAUUAUCCCACUGCAACAGUGAUCCAACAAGAUUUGCCCGUACGGUUAACGGAAAGACCCGAGGCCAUCUUUCUUCUCCAUAUGCCCUGAGAGCACCUUCUAUGGCUGCUGGUCCAGAUUUAAUUGCAUUAGCUAAUUUCCUGGUCAGUAUCACAGAAUCCUCUAAAGCACAACAAGCACCUUGCCCGAGGUUGGGAGUCAUCGGAUGCCAAGCAUCUCCAACCAGCACUACUUUGCCGGUUGAAGCAGGAGGGCUUAAACCCGGCCAUAACCAACGAUCAACAAGCGGGGUUUUACUGAUUGUCUCAUCUGGGCUGAGAUCAAUCAAUCUAAUUAACUCUUCAGGCCAGUUGUUUACGAGUUCCUUUGCUUGCUUCCUCAGCAAAGCUGGAUCAGUAAUCUUUGGACCUGCAACAAGCCAUGUCAGAAGGGUCGUUAUAAGGAGACACGGGGACAUAUCCAGCACGCAAACCUCUUCCGUAGAUAUAAUUAACAUUUGCUGCAAAUGGCUGCCCAUCGGGAUAAACUCCAAGUCCACGGAAAGCACUAUAUCCUGCAUACUUCGGCUCGGAGAAACCCAUCCAGUUGGCUAUCGGAGAUCUAAUUCCAUCACAACCGAUAACAAUCUGUUGAAGAAACAUAUUCAAUAACCCAAUUUCUUUCAACACAGCAACGUUGAAACUUGAGGUCUACUAACCUUUGCAAGCAACGUAGUCCCAUUGGUGGUAACUCGUUGGCAAGCGUCUCCAGUAGUAUUCUCCGCUCCACAGCACGAACUUCUUGGCUGCCAAAGUAAAAAAGGAGCGUAACUCCCUUCCAUCUUCUGAAUUCACCGCCAUCCUGCACAGCUGAUGCAAUUAACAAGUUCAGAAUAUGACCUGCGAAGAGACACUGCAGUGGCGAGACCAGCAAUCCCAGCUCCGACGAUGACGAUAUCUUCUUUUCGUACACCAGCUGAAGCUUUAAUGUUGACUGAGGGGUUGAGUUUGGUUCUGGGUUGAGCUCGGAACCAUGAUGGUUUCUGUGAAAAUCUGAUACCCUGAGAAUUGUAGAAAGAAGGUCGUGGCAUAUGGGAAGUGGUCAUUGCCAUGGUGAUAUAGAGUGUAAUGAGUUUGGGAAGUUUUGUGAUUGUUUUUUGAGAUUGGAGAAUAAAAAAAAAAAAACAUAAGAUUUUAAGUAUGGAAAUAAGUGGAGGAGAUGAAAGGAUCUUGUUGGUUCAUGUUGAGCCAUGUUUUUUGAUAAAAAAAAAUGAUACUUUGAUAUAGAAAAUUCUCCAAA